AUGGAGCUCCCAGGCCAGGGAGCACAUGUGCUGGGUGGGGGUGGCGGUGGGAGAACAGAGAUGCCAAAGCUGCCAAAGGCCUGGUCUCUUCCCAUCUCAGACACCCUCAAGGCACUGUCCUCUCUCUACAUCCAGAGCUUGGCUGCAGCGGGGGUAGAUGAAAAGGAGGAGAAACUGUUGGAUAAAAAGAAAUUCAAAAAAAAAAGCCCCAAACUCAGGACCAGGUCCCUGACCGGGUUGAGGCUGCCUUGGGUGCACCUAUGGCUAUGUCACAUGUCUGGUGGCUGUGUUGGUGAGAGACCCAAAUUCUGGCAAGAUCAACUUCUACUCAAGAGAAAUGAAGACAUGGGCCCACAUAAAAACUUAUAUGACAAUGAUCACAGCGGUAUUUUUCAUAAUGGCCAAAAAGUGGAAAUAAUCCAAAUGUCCAUCCACUGGUGAAUACAUAAAUAAAAUGUAGUCUAUCCAUACAACGGGAUAUUAUUUGGUCAUGAAAAGUGAUGAAGUACUGAUUCAUGUUAUAACAUGGAUGGAUAUUGAAGACUCUAUGUUAAGUGAAAGAAGCCAGUCACAAAAAACCAUGCAUUCUUUUAGUCCCUUUAUAUGAAAAUAAAGAAUCAGCGAAUAUAUAGAAAAAAUAUAUUAAGAGUUGUUUAGGACUGGGGGUGAGAGGUAUUUUGGGGAAAAAAGAGACUGCUAACGAGAAUGGGGCUAGUGGUGGGGAGAUGGCUCAAAUGUUCUAAAAUGUCUGACAGCGAUGGUUGCACAACCCUGUAGAUCUACUAAAAACCAUUGACUUGUGAGGUGCCUGGGUAGCUCAGUCCAACAAGCGUUCAACUCUUGAUUUUGGCUCAGGUCAUGAUUUCAGGGUUGUGGGAUUGAGCCCCAUGUAGGAACUAGUGUGGAGCCUGCUUAAGAUUCUCUCUCUCCCUCUCCCUCUACCUCUCCACACCCCCCGACACUGGCUCAGACUCUUUCUCUCUAGAGACAAAACAAAACAAAACACCAUUGACUUGUACACUUUAAAUAGAUGAAUUGCACUGUAUGUGAAUUAUAUCUUAAUAAAGCUGUUAUUUUAAAAAAGUGAUGUGACUUACUUAGGGUCUCUCAGGAAGUGGGAGGUGUCACUGGUACUAGAAUGUGGUCUUUUGACUCUACGCUCAGUGCUCUUUCCAGAAGCCCUACAAUGCCUCAAAAAUCUUGCUGUGGAGAUUUGAAGGCCAAAUCCUUCAUGUAUGGGGGUACCCACAUAACAUUUUGGCUUUUCUGUAGGGUUGUCACAUUUCAGUGUGUAAUAGUGUCUCUCAUUAUAUGUGUGCACGUAAGGAUUUGUGGUCUUACAGCUCUGUGUGUCUCUGCAAGUAUGACUCUGCACAUCUGUAUCUAGGCCUACGGAUCUCUCAAUUGUGAGUGUGGAGUGUACCUGUGAACUUCUGCUCACUGGCUGGGUCUCUGUGUGUUUGCAUUCAUAGGUAUAUUUGGUUGGGCCCAGGUCUCUGAAUGUCAGUGCUAGGUCUGGAUCUGUGAGGUCAUGGGACUUCAGGGGAGUCUGUGUGCAUGUGUUCUAUGUAUGACGGUGUGUCUACCAUCGUAAUGUGUCUCGGUGGGUACCCAUGGAUUUCCUAUUGCAUCAGCUUAUGGGUUUGGGUUCAUGUGCCCUCACCUCAGAGUCUCUGCCUGUGAUACAUGUUGGCACCUCUCUCCACAUGUCCAUCUAUAUGUUGGCAUUCUGGUGUCCACACAGGUUCAUCUCUGGGACCUUGCAUCUAUGUGGCGGGGCCGCUGUCCAUCUGAGUCUGCGAGUCUGAACCCCUCCUGCAGGCACCAACCCCAGAAGGCGCCUGCCUCCCCACCCCCGCCCCUGACAGCCGUGGAGAGAGCUACACAGUAAAUUCAUGGCCGCCUGGCUGGGAAACAGGCGGCUGCAAUGGAAAGGAAGCAUGGAUUUGCAUAUUGAAUUAAAAUUAAGAGCUAAUUAUGCAAAUAAAUUAUGACAUUUGGCAGG
rnacentral:lncRNA from 1 species